CCUACGGGAGGCAGCAGUAGGGAAUAUUGCUCAAUGGGGGAAACCCUGAAGCAGCAACGCCGCGUGAAGGAGGAAGGUUUUCGGAUUGUAAACUCCUUUUGUUAGAGAAGAUAAUGACGGUACCCAACGAAUAAGCACCGGCUAACUCCGUGCCAGCAGCCGCGGUAAUACGGAGGGUGCAAGCGUUAUCCGGAAUCACUGGGCGUAAAGAGUGCGUAGGCGGGAUGGCAAGUCAGAUGUGAAAGCCGCAGGCUCAACCUGUGAACUGCAUUUGAAACUGUUAUGCUGGAGUACGGGAGAGGUAGGUGGAAUUCUUGGUGUAGCGGUGAAAUGCGUAGAGAUCAGGAGGAAUA
rnacentral:rRNA from 1 species